rnacentral:rRNA from 1 species
UACGGGGGGGGCAAGCGUUGUUCGGAAUUACUGGGCGUAAAGGGCUCGUAGGCUGCCAACUAAGUCAGACGUGAAAUCCCUCGGCUUAACCGGGGAACUGCGUCUGAUACUGCGGUGCUUGAGGACUGGAGAGGAGACUGGAAUUUACGGUGUAGCGGUGAAAUGCGUAGAUAUCGUAAGGAAGACCAGUGGCGAAGGCGGGUCUCUGGACAGUUCCUGACACUGAGGCACGAAGGCCAGGGGAGCAAACGGG